UAGUCUGCAACCCGACUACAUGAAGCUGGAAUCGCUAGUAAUCGCGGAUCAGAAUGCCGCGGUGAAUACGUUCCCGGGUCUUGUACACACCGCCCGUCACACCAUGGGAGUCGGAAAUGCCCGAAGCCGGUGACUCAACCUUUAAGGAGAGAGCCGUCGAAGGCAGGUCUGAUAACUGGGGUGAAGUCGUAACAAGGUAGC
rnacentral:rRNA from 1 species